UUAAUAGAGAUAAUGAGAGGGAGAAACAAAAUUUGCCGUCACUUUUAGAGUUUAGCCUAUUGAGUCUAAAACAAAAAGCAAAAAAAAAAAAAGAAGAGUCAUCGGUAGAAUCGCUGCAUCAAAAAGGAGAUAGACCACAAUGAUUCAUUUAUUUAGCUUCGUGCAGUCAGCUGAUUUGAUUUGCUUAGGUAAUUGGAGUCGGAUCAGACAAGCCACCUUCGUUGUGCCAGAAGUCGUUGGACUUGCACAAAUAUGAGUUCCUAGAGCUGCAGUAGUCGGUAGGCGUUAAUAGAAGACUUGUGAAUUGAUUUUUAAGUAGUUAAUUCUUAAUGUAA